rnacentral:lncRNA from 1 species
UCCAAUCUCCAUGGACCACUUUAGCACUAAAUGAGGCAUCAAUUCAAGCUGUUUCUUUCUCUCCAAUUUUUCCUAAACCAAAAAUAAUAAAACAAUAAUAAUAGUAAAAUAUUGAAAAAAAAUCCCAAUGGACCAUUUGUUCGUCAGCCUCCAGACAGAGUAAGAUGAUAGGGCCCACAUCACCUUAUCAAAAAGGGACCACACUCUCUGUUCACGACACCCAGAAAAUAAGAUUUAGAAAAAAUUAGACCAACGAAAGAGAGUCAAUUGCUGACGUGGGUCCCCCUGGUCCCCACUGCGGGUACACGUGUCGGGAUAUGAUUCGAUAAAUCCGUCGGGUUCGUCCUCCGAUGCUGUCCCGACAAGUGGUCCAUGAAAGGUGGGAUCGACACGUGUACCUCGUAAAACAAAUGAUGUAUGUUGCUGCCUGAACUGCAUGCAAGUGGCUAAGAGAAAGGGGCAGGAAGUGAGUGAGCGGCGGGGGAGCGUCCGCCGUGACUUACAGGAAG